rnacentral:rRNA from 1 species
UUAAAUUGCUAAGGGCGCAUGGUGAAUGCCUUGGCACUAGAAGCUGAUGAAGGACGUGACGAACAACGAUAUGCUUCGGGGAGCUGUAAGUAGCUUUGAUCCGGAGAUUUCCGAAUGGGGGAACCUGUUACUAGUUAUGUGGUAACGACAUAUAAUGAAUACAUAGUUAUAUGAUCAGCAACUCUGGGAACUGAAACAUCUUAGUACCAGAAGGAAAAGAAAGAAAUUUCGAUUCUCCUAGUAGUGGCGAGCGAAAAGAGAAUAGCCCAAACCAGAUUUAUCUGGGGUUGUAGGAUCUUUAUAUAAGAGUUACAAAAUUUAAUUAUAGUCGAAUUAGUUGGGAAGCUAAAUCAUAGAAGGUGACAAUCCUGUAGACGAAAUAGUUAAAUCUCUUUAAGAAUUCCUGAGUAGGACGGGACACGUGUAAUCCUGUCUGAAUCUACGGAGCCCAUUCCGUAAGGCUAAAUACUCUCUAGUGACCGAUAGUGAACAAGUACCGUGAGGGAAAGGUGAAAAGAACCCCGGAAGGGGAGUGAAAUAGAAUACUGAAACCAUGUGCUUACAAAAAGUCAAAGCCCGUUAAUGGGUAAUGGCGUGCCUUUUGCAGAAUGAACCGGCGAGUUAUUGUUGCAUGCAAGGUUAAGUAGAAGAUACGGAGCCGAAGUGAAAGCGAGCCUUAAUAGGGCGAUUAAGUAUGCAGUAAUAGACCCGAAACUGAGUGAUCUAGCCUUGAGCAGGUUGAAAUUUAGGUAAAACUGAAUGGAGGACCGAACCGAUAUACCCGGAAACGUGUACGGAUGACUUGAGGCUAGCGGUGAAAUUCCAAUCGAACUCAGAUAUAGCUGGUUCUCCUCGAAAUAGGUUUAGGCCUAGCCUUGUGGUUAGCGCUAUAGAGGUAGAGCACUGAAUAUGUGAGGGCCCCAUCUAGGGGUACCAAAUGUAAUCAAACUCCGAAUGCUAUAGUUGUAUACACAGGAGUCAGUGUAUGGGUGAUAACGUCCAUACGCGAAAGGAAAAGAAUCCAGACCGCCAACUAAGGUCCCAAAAUUUAUGCUAAGUGGGAAAGGAUGUGGAGUUGUCAAAACAGCUAGGAGGUUGGCUCAGAAGCAGCCAUCCUUUAAAGAGUGCGUAAUAGCUCACUAGUCGAGUGACACUGCGCCGAAGAUGUACCGGGGCUAAGCAUAAUACCGAAGUUGCGGAUUAUAGUUUUACUAUAAUGGUAGAGGAGCGUUCUAAUUGCGGUGAAGUCAGAUCGAAAGGACUGGUGGAGCGAUUAGAAGUGAGAAUGCCGGUGUGAGUAGCGCAAGAUGUGUGAGAAUCACAUCCACCGUUUGCCUAAGGUUUCCUGGGCCAGGUUCGUCCUCCCAGGGUUAGUCAGGACCUAAGAUAAGGCCGAGAGGCGUAGUCGAUGGACAACAGGUUGAUAUUCCUGUACUACUUAUAUAACUGAUGGAAUGACGGAGAAGGAUAACAGAAGCCAGUUAUUGGAUUCUGGUUUAAGUACAAAGGCUUAUGAAUUGGAAAAUCCGUUUAUAAUUAAGCUGAAGUAUGAUGACGUGUUAUCGAAGGAUAAUUGAAGUUCUGUGACUCCAUGCUUCCAAGAAAAGUUUCUAAAGAUAUUAUAUAAGUACCUGUACCGAGAACCGACACAGGUGGGCAAGGAGAGUAUCCUAAGGUGAGCGAGAGAAUUAUGGUUAAGGAACUCGGCAAAAUGACCCCGUAACUUCGGGAGAAGGGGUGGUCUAGCGAUAGACCCGCAGUAAAUAGGCCCAGGCGACUGUUUACCAAAAACACAGCUCUCUGCUAAGUCGUAAGACGAUGUAUAGGGGGUGACACCUGCCCAGUGCUGGAAGGUUAAUAGGAUGGCUCAGAUAUGACGCAAGUCGAUAAUAUCAAAGGUCAGAAUUGAAGCCCCAGUGAACGGCGGCCGUAACUAUAACGGUCCUAAGGUAGCGAAAUUCCUUGUCAGGUAAGUUCUGACCCGCACGAAAGGUGUAACGAUCUGGGUACUGUCUCAACCAUAAGCUCGGUGAAAUCUUAAUACCUGUGAAAAUGCAGGUUACCCGCAACAGGACGGAAAGACCCCAUGGAGCUUUACUGUAGCUUGAUAUUGAGAUUCGGAAUGUUAUGUAGAGGAUAGGUGGGAGACUAUGAGACUAGGGCGUCAGUUCUAGUGGAGUCAACAUUGGAAUACCACCCUUAAUAUUUUGAAUUUCUAACUUGAUUCCGUGAUCCGGAAUGAGGACAGUGUCUGGUGGGCAGUUUGACUGGGGCGGUCGCCUCCCAAAAAGUAACGGAGGCGCCCAAUGGUUCCCUCAGAAUGGUUGGAAAUCAUUCAUAGAGCGUAAAGGUAUAAGGGAGCUUGACUGCGAGACAUACAAGUCGAGCAGAUACGAAAGUAGGGCUUAGUGAUCAGGCGAUUCAGAAUGGAAUGGUCGUCGCUUAACGGAUAAAAGUUACCCUGGGGAUAACAGGCUGAUACCACCCAAUAGUUCACAUAGACGGUGGUGUUUGGCACCUCGAUGUCGGCUCGUCACAUCCUGGAGGUGAAGUCGCUUCCAAGGGUUGGGCUGUUCGCCCAUUAAAGUGGCACGCGAGCUGGGUUCAGAACGUCGUGAGACAGUUCGGUCCCUAUCCGUUGUGGGCGUAGGAAAAUUGAGGAGAGCUAUCCUUAGUACGAGAGGACCGGGAUGGAACUACCUCUGGUGUAUCUGUUGUAACGCCAGUUGCAGUGCAGAGUAGCUAUGUAGUAAAGGAUAACCGCUGAAAGCAUCUAAGCGGGAAGCCAACUUCAAGAUGAGUUUUCCCAUUUUUUAUAAAGUAAGAUCCCUGAUAGACUAUCAGGUUGAUAGGUUGGAGAUGGAAGCAUAGUAAUAUGUUGAGUUGACCAAUACUAAUAGAUCGAGGAUUU